UUGGAGGGCAAGUCUGGUGCCAGCAGCCGCGGUAAUUCCAGCUCCAAUAGCGUAUAUUAAAGUUGUUGCAGUUAAAAAGCUCGUAGUUGAAUUUCGGGGUCAGUAGGUUGGUCAUGCCACUGGUAUGUACUGGUCUCACUGAUUCCUCCUUCCUGAUGAACUGUAAUGCCAUUAAUUUGGUGUUGCAGGGAAUCUGGACUGUUACUUUGAAAAAAUUAGAGUGUUUAAAGCAGGCUAACGCCUGAAUACAUUAGCAUGGAAUAAUGAAAUAGGACGUUCGAUCCUAUUUUGUUGGUUUCUAGGAUUGACGUAAUGAUUAAUAGGGAUAGUUGGGGGCAUUAGUAUUCAAUUGUCAGAGGUGAAAUUCUUGGAUUUAUUGAAGACUAACUACUGCGAAAGCGUUUGCCAAGGAUGUUUUCAUUAAUCAAGAACGAAAGUUAGGGGAUCGAAGACGAUCAGAUACCGUCGUAGUCUUAACCAUAAACUAUGCCGACUAGGGAUCGGAUGAUGUUAAUUUUUUAAUGACUCAUUCGGCGCCUUACGGGAAAC
rnacentral:rRNA from 1 species